UACGUAGGUGGCAAGCGUUGUCCGGAUUUAUUGGGUUGAAAGGGUGCGUAGGUGGGUAGGUAAGUCAGAGGUGAAAUCUUCGAGCUUAACUCGGAAACUGCCAUUGAUACUAUUUAUCUUGAAUACUCUGGAGGUAAGCGGAAUAUGUCAUGUAGCGGUGAAAUGCUUAGAUAUGACAUAGAACACCAAUUGCGAAGGCAGCUUACUACAUAGUUAUUGACACUGAGGCACGAAAGCGUGGGGAUCAAACAGG
rnacentral:rRNA from 1 species